rnacentral:rRNA from 1 species
GACGAACGCUGGCGGCGUGCCUAAUACAUGCAAGUAGAACGCACAGUUUAUACCGUAGCUUGCUACACCAUAGACUGUGAGUUGCGAACGGGUGAGUAACGCGUAGGUAACCUGCCUGGUAGCGGGGGAUAACUAUUGGAAACGAUAGCUAAUACCGCAUAAUAUUGAUUAUUGCAUGAUAAUUGAUUGAAAGAUGCUAUUGCAUCACUACCAGAUGGACCUGCGUUGUAUUAGCUAGUAGGUGAGGUAACGGCUCACCUAGGCGACGAUACAUAGCCGACCUGAGAGGGUGAUCGGCCACACUGGGACUGAGACACGGCCCAGACUCCUACGGGAGGCAGCAGUAGGGAAUCUUCGGCAAUGGACGAAAGUCUGACCGAGCAACGCCGCGUGAGUGAAGGAGGUUGUCGGAUCGUAAAGCUCUGUUGUAAGAGAAGAACGGGUGUGAGAGUGGAAAGUUCACACUGUGACGGUAUCUUACCAGAAAGGGACGGCUAACUACGUG